rnacentral:rRNA from 1 species
UACGUAGGGCGCAAGCGUGUCCGGAAUUAUUGGGCGUAAAGAGCUCGUAGGCGGUUUGUCGCGUCGGCUGUGAAAACUCGGGGCUCAACCCCGAGCCUGCAGUCGAUACGGGCAAACUAGAGUGUGGUAGGGGAGACUGGAAUUCCUGGUGUAGCGGUGAAAUGCGCAGAUAUCAGGAGGAACACCGGCGGCGAAGGCGGGUCUCUGGGCCAUAACUGACGCUGAGGAGCGAAAGCGUGGGGAGCGAACAGG